GGCGGCGCGCGCCGGGCGUUGGGGAGCGGCGCCGCCUACCGGGUGGCGGGAGAGGGGCCGCCUCCGCCGUGAGGGGGAGGUCGCGCCGGGAUAACGCGGCGGCCGGCGAGGCCCGACCCCCGCACCUGCCUCCGGGGCUGCCAGCGAGGCGGGGGGAGGCCGCUGCCGGCCGCGGGGGCUGCUCCGUCCCGUCCCGUCCCGUCCCGUCCCGUCCCCCACUCCACCUCAGGGACGGGCUCGGGGCCCGCCGGGCGGGAGCGGAGGUCCGGGACGCGGCGUUGGUGGCCCGGUCGGGCCCGGCCCGUCGUCCCCUCCCCCGGCCCGCUGUCGGUUCUGCUGAGCCGGUGGCGAUGCGAGGCCGGCGCAGAGGACCACCCCUGCUCCUGUUCGGGAAGCCUGCGUUGCCACCUGCAGCCGAGGUCUCUUCCUCACGUUUCUGAGGGAGGCGCUACUCCGGGAGUCCUUCAGCUAGCUGAUCUUCUGGAAAAGCAAGAUGGAAAGAGUUAAUCGCUUCCCCUAAUGCAGAGGUCAAACCCAAACUCAUGCCUUAUCGCUCUUACGCAGAAAUUCCCUUCUAAAGCUUUUCUAACGUUUCAGCCUCAGAUGUCGGCUGCUGUGCUUUUAACGCAUUUUAGCACAUCUCUGCAAAUGUUUAAAAUAAUGCGGAGAAAUUAAUGACCCCUGUUUCCCUGACCACUGUCUCUCAAAUAACCACAGAACAAUUGCAGUCUGUGCUUGCAUGUGCUCUCCAGCUAGGGUCUGUCAGUUGUGUUUGUUGUGAGAGUCACAUUGCUUUAGGAAUUUUUACGCCAGCAUUUAGUAAAUGGCAAAAUAAAACAAGCUCACUUAAGAAUACAAAUGAACGUUGUUCACACACGCACAUACACGUUUUGAUUCUCUGUUGGGCAGACUUGGAAUGAAAAGAUUUUGAAAGAAAGUUUUCUUCGGCGAGUGUUGGAUACUCAUUGCAAGUGAGAAACUAGUUAAAAUCCUAUUACUGUCUCUCAUUUCCUGUUAGCUUGAGAGAUAAAGACCAUGCUUCCAAUAUGGCCUUUAUGUAUCCCAGAUUUUUUUAUGCCAAGUAUAAAUUACAGUUUAAAUUCAUCAAAGCAAAGAAAUGCAGGCUCUGUAUUUUCCACCCAAGUCUAUAGGAUUUACUUUGCUAAAGGUGCUGCAGUGCUUCUUUCAAUCAGACCUUUUGUCUGCAGAUGGAGUAUUAUAUUUUUAUUUGCAAAGUAUGGGUCAUUCAUUUCGUCUUUGUGCUCAACUUCUGCUGCUGUCUAUGGGAAAUGUGGGAGCUGAUCAAGGACAGGAUGCCCACAUAAACUAAUAUACUAGAACAAUUUGUUAAGCGUGACAGCCUACUGCUGGUGAAAACAUCAGUUUCCAGCGUUUGCUCUUUUCUCUCAUCUCAUGAAAAAGCAUGGAGCGAGGCAUGAGCAUUUAAAGAGAAAUAUGGAAAUUAAGGGAUGUCAGUCUGAUGCUGCAUGCCUUGAUCCUGCUCAGAUUUAAGCCAAUGCAAAUUUUGCUGUUAACUUCAAAGCAAUAGCUGUGACAUCAUUCAUUGAUCAUGAGAGUUACUUCAUAUAUAAUCAAAUAAUCACAUCAAGGGCUCAAUCCUGCAAGCUGCUAAAAAACUGUUGCACAUUGAAGCCUUUCUGUUUGCAGAAAGAUGUUCAAAGAGGCUUGUACAAAGUAUAGAAAAAUGUGCGGAGUGAUCAAUGCUGUUGGAAACCUCAGUGCCCAUAUGGGAAGGAAAAAAAACCCAAACCACUCUUGAUGACUGUGGUGGAGAGGAGGCAUUGCCUGGUGUUGAAAUGUCAUCCAGUGCAUUCAAAUAACAUGCACAAUAGCCACUUGAAAGAUUUUCAUUUCCUUCUAAUGCCAACCAGUUGGAGCAGUUUUCUCAACAGCUCUUGACAGUGGAGCUUAAAAAAUGGAGAGCAGGGCUAGCCAUGAAUUUCAGCCAGGAACGUGGCAAUUUGGGCGGCAAUGUUAAUAAAGCAGAAAGGCGGUCACAAAUUCUGAAAUAGAUCCUGCUGGACAGAGCCCCAAAUUAUAAGGUAAAAUUCUGGCUCUGCUGACAUGGGUGGGAAGCCUUUGUUGACUUCUGUGAAACCAGAUUUUGCUGCUGUAGUCGUUGGCUUCUCAUUUAAAUGUGUGGCAUGUGUACACUUAACGCAUUUUUUUUCUCCAGGUUGCUAAAAUAUAAGGCUUCGUGUAUUAGAGUAAUAAUUUCAAACAAUUGAUGGUGAAAUUAAAAGGGAUAAAAUAUCUAUA